rnacentral:rRNA from 1 species
CAGGCCUAACACAUGCAAGUCGAACGGUAACAGGAAGCAGCUUGCUGCUUCGCUGACGAGUGGCGGACGGGUGAGUAAUGUCUGGGAAACUGCCUGAUGGAGGGGGAUAACUACUGGAAACGGUAGCUAAUACCGCAUAACGUCGCAAGACCAAAGAGGGGGACCUUCGGGCCUCUUGCCAUCGGAUGUGCCCAGAUGGGAUUAGCUAUUUGGCGGGGUAAGGGCCCACCAAGGCGAUGAUCAGUAGGGGUUCUGAGAGGAUUGGCCCCCACAUGGGUACUGAGAUACGGACCCAACUCCUACGGGAGGCAGCAGUAGGGAAUAUUGGGCAAUGGGCGAGAGCCUGACCCAGCCAUGCCGCGUGCCGGAUGAAGGCGCUCAGCGUUGUAAACGGCUUUUGACUGGGAAGAACGGCAGGUUUGCGAACUUGUGUGACGGUACCAGCAGAAUAAGCACCGGCUAACUCCGUGCCAGCAGCCGCGGUAAU